UUUAGUAGAAAUGACACCAAGUAGUCACUUUGAAGGAUUGCUAUUUAGAAAUUAGUUAGUGUAUUCUAAAUUUCAGUUUUUUAGGGUUGAAGUAGCUAUACUAGUUUAUAUUUAUCAAUGUAUCCAAGAAAGAGACUCUCUUUCUUUUUCAUUCUCUCUUACUCUGUCCCUAAUUUUUCUCUUUUGUUCAUCUGCAAUCUUAAGUUGUUCUUCUCGGUUGACUUUCUUCACUAUGGCUCGGCACCCAAUCUAGGAGAUGGCAUUGGAGAUGGCGUUGGAGAUGGCAUUGGAUGGCAUUGGAGAUGGCGUUCCGUCACCAACUGGGCCUAGAAGAUCCUUUGACGGAAGUAACUAUGAAAAUGGAGCAAACAGCAAUUAAUAAUCAUUGUUAGGAUGAACUAUAUUUUUGUGUUGUAACUAUUGAGUAACUCUCUUAACUCUCUGCACCUUAAACUUGAAUCUUGGAUGAUGUGGAGUUUGGGUAUGUUUUAAUAUGAUGAAUAUUUUGUUUUAAUAUGAUGAUGUGGUUCUUUAAGCUUAGAAUUUUUUACUUUUUGAACUUUGAAGCAAUCUGAGAUUCAAAAUGCACUUCAAUUUCAGUUACAUAUUUGACAAUUAUUUGAUCUUCUACAGUUACAUAUAACCCAUAUGAACAUUAGUCGCAGUCUCUCCUUCUAAAACCUUGGGUGAUGCUACAGUAUUCCAUUUAUUAAAAAUAUUACAAUUAUGGCAGUAUAAAAUGGCUAUAGUUUGAAAGGGACAGAACAUCAAUUACGGCGGUUGAAAACCGCCACAAUAAGCAAAGUGAACAGCCGUCCUUAAACCUGCAUAUUGCGGCGCUUUUACCUGCAUAUUGCGGCGGUUAGUUGAAAACCGCCGUAUUACAUCUUUUGGCGGAAGCGAUUAUGGCUUGUGGAGGACGCCAUUAAUAACAAUUGCGGCGGUUGGGAACUGCCGCUAUAAGCAAAUAUGACCGCCGCUAUUUCUCCGGUUUUUUGUAGUGGUAACUAGAAUCUUGUUUCUUUUCUGGUGUUGAUUUGAUUAUUUAGAUCAGAGGAACUCUUCUUACUGAUUUGAAAAAAGAUUGCACAAUUAUUUAAAAUUAGAAUUUUAUUUCUUCUCACUCUCUGUUUGUUGUUUCUUGAACAUUAUAUUGUGACUUGUGAGGACUAUGAAAUCAUUUUUUAAUCUUACUGCAUGUGAUUGUUUGCCUUUUACGCUCAUCUGUUGUUUGAAAAUGCUAAGAGUUUAGAGUUAAUUAGAAGUUCCAUGUGUUUCUUUUUUUACAAUUUUUGCAUACCUUUUCUCUUUUGGUUACCUAAUUUUGUACAUGCAUGUUGUGAUUUAUGGCCUUUCUUCAUGGAUCCUGAGAAUACUGAGAAAUUAUGGAUUGACUUUUGCAUGUUGUUGUCUCAGUUUGUACAUGCCUACUGAAAUGUAAAUAUGUUUUAUAUCUAUGGUGAAGUUCAUAACUAUUCCUUCUUCAGGAAAAUCAUCAGUGUUAACCUAUCUGUCUUCUUUGGACUCAGUUUACUAUAGAAGAGGGGAGCAAACUUCUGUGAUGAUUAAGGCAUAGCAGGUCCCGCUCCCGAGUGCUGACUCAUCCCAGCUCCAGGCGGAUCUUCGAGGAGACUUUAGGUAGCUGCUGGCGUUCGCAGCCUGGAGCUCCUCUCUAUAUAUAUCUUUACUUUCUAUUCUAGUAUUGAGACUCUGUAGUUACAUUUGAGAGUUUAUUUUCUUAGACGCUCGUGACUUGUGACACCCCGGUUAGGGCUGUGUCGGGAUGGUUUUUCCGCCAUUAUUAUCUUAAAUUCCGCGAACUAUUGCUAUUAAAUCAUGUUUUAAACUGUUUUAUAAUAAUGAACUGCUUU